UACAGAGGUCUCAAGCGUUGUUCGGAUUCAUUGGGCGUAAAGGGUGCGUAGGCGGCGCGGUAAGUCGGGUGUGAAAUCUCGGAGCUUAACUCCGAAACUGCAUUCGAUACUGCCGUGCUUGAGGACUGGAGAGGAGACUGGAAUUUACGGUGUAGCAUGUGAAAUGCGUAGAGAAUCGGUAGGAACACCAGUGGCGAAGGCGGUCUCCUGGAGCAUUCUUGACGCUGAGACGCGAAAGCUGGGGGAGCGAACGGG
rnacentral:rRNA from 1 species